rnacentral:rRNA from 1 species
GGUUGACCUCGGAUCAGGUAGGAAUACCCGCUGAACUUAAGCAUAUCAUA